rnacentral:snRNA from 1 species
GUUUAGUGUUUAAUAAUGUAU